GACGAACGCUGGCGGCGUGCUUAACACAUGCAAGUCGAACGGGCCUGUCUUCUUUUUUGGGGGGUGGGUUGAGUGGCGAACGGGUGAGUAUCACGUGAGUAACCUGCCCUUCGGUCCUGGAUAACCGCUUGAAAGGGCGGCUAAUACGGGGUGGUCCGGUUGGUCCGCAUGGGCUGGUCGGGAUAGAUUCACUGUUUUUGGUGUUUCGGCGGGGGAUGGGCUCGCGGCCUAUCAGCUUGUUGGUGGGGUGAUGGCCUACCAAGGCGGUGACGGGUAGCCGGCCUGAGAGGGUGGGCGGCCACACUGGGACUGAGAUACGGCCCAGACUCCUGCGGGAGGCAGCAGUGGGGGGUAUUGCACAAUGGGCGGAAGCCUGAUGCAGCGACGCCGCGUGAGGGAUGGAGGCCUUCGGGUUGUGAACCUCUGUUUCCGGUGGUGAAGGCCCUGUCCGUGUGGUGGGGUUGACGGUAGCCGGGGAUGAAGCGCCGGCUAACUACGUG
rnacentral:rRNA from 1 species